AUUGAACGCUGGCGGCAUGCCUUACACAUGCAAGUCGAACGGUAACAGGUUAAGCUGACGAGUGGCGAACGGGUGAGUAAUGUAUCGGAACGUGCCCAGUCGUUGGGGAUAACUGCUCGAAAGAGCAGCUAAUACGGCAUACGACCUGAGGGUGAAAGCGGGGGAUCGCAAGACCUCGCGCGAUUGGGGCGGCCGAUAUCAGAUUAGGUAGUUGGUGGGGUAAAGGCCUACCAAGCGUACGAUCUGUAGCUGGUCUGAGAGGACGACCAGCCACACUGGGACUGAGACACGGCCCAGACUCCUACGGGAGGCAGCAGUGGGGAAUUUUGGACAAUGGACGCAAGUCUGAUCCAGCCAUGCCGCGUGCGGGAAGAAGGCCUUCGGGUUGUAAACCGCUUUUGUCAGGGAAGAAAAGGUUCUGGUUAAUACCUGGGACUCAUGACGGUACCUGAAGAAUAAGCACCGGCUAACUACGUGCCAGCCGCCGCGGUAAAAC
rnacentral:rRNA from 1 species